GACGAACGCUGGCGGCGUGCCUAACACAUGCAAGUCGAGCGGGGCGACCGGAGGCGGUAGAGAUACCGAGGAAGGGCGCCUAGCGGCGAACGGGUGAGUAACGCGUGGGCAAUCUGCCCCCGGGAGCGGGAUAACAGACCGAAAGGCCUGCUAAUACCGCAUGAAGCCGUCAUAUCACAUGGUAAGACGGUAAAAGGGGAAACCCGCCUGGGGAGGAGCCCGCGUCCCAUUAGCUAGUUGGUGGUGUAACGGACCACCAAGGCGAUGAUGGGUAGCCGGCCUGAGAGGGUGAACGGCCACAUUGGGACUGAGACACGGCCCAGACUCCUACGGGGGCAGCAGUGAGGGAUUUUCGGCAAUGGGCGAAAGCCUGACCGAGCGACGCCGCGUGAGCGAAGAAGGCCUUGGGUCGUAAAGCUCUGUCUAGGGGAAGAGAAAGGACGGUACCUCUGGAGGAAGCCACGGCGUAACUACGUGCCAGCAGCCGCGGUAAAGUCACGUCG
rnacentral:rRNA from 1 species